rnacentral:piRNA from 1 species
UAAUGAAAUAUUUUCUGAAACAUGGUUGGA